GUUAGGGAUGGAUGGAGGAUGGAGGGAUGUAAUGGAUAUGAUGGAUGGAGGAUGUAGUGGGGAAUGGAGGAUGAAUGAUGGAUGGAGGAUGGAUGGAUGAAUGAAGGAUGGAUGGAUGGUGAAUGGAUGGAUGAUGAAUGGAUGGUGGAUGGAUGGUGGAUGGAUGGAUGGAUGGAUGGAAUGGAUGGAUGAUGGAUGGAUGGAUAGAGGAUGGAUGGAUGAUGAAUGGAUGGUGGAUGGAUGAUGGAGUUGGAAUGGAUGGAUGUGGAUGGAUGGAUGAAUGAUGGAUGGAAUGUGAUGGAGGAGGAUGGAAUGGUGGAUGGAUGGAUGGAUGGUGGUAGAUGGAUGAUGAAUGGAUGGUGGAUGGAUGAUGGAUGAUGGAUGGAUGAUGGAUGGAUGGUGGAUAGAUGAAUGAUGAAUGGAUGGUGGAUGGAUGGUGGGUGGAUGGAUGGAUGAUGGAUGGAUGAUGGAAUGAUGGAUGGAUGGAUGAUGGAUGGAUGAUGAAUGGAUGGUGGAUGGAUGGUGGAUGGAUGAGUGGAUGGUGGAUGGAUGGACAGAUGGAUGAAGGAUGGAUGGUGAAUGGGUGGUGAAUGGAUGGUGGAUGGAUGGAUGGAUGGAGGAUGGAUGGUGGAUGGAUGGAUGGAUGGUGGAUAGAUGGAUGAUGAAUGGAUGGUGGAUGGAUGGUGGAUGAUGGAUGGAUGGAUGAUGGAUGAAUGGAUGGAUGGAUGAGGAUGGAAUGUGAUGAAUGGAUGGAUGGGAUGGAUGGAUGGACUGGAUGGAGGAUGGAUGGAUGAUGAAUGGAUGGUGGAUGGAUGGUGGAUGGAUGGAUGGAUGAUGGAUGGAUGGAUGGAUGAUGGAUGGAUGGAUGGAUGGAUGGAGGAUGGAUGGUGGAUGGAUGGAUGGAUGGUGGGUAGAUGGAUGAUGAAUGGAUGGUGGGUGGAUGGAUGGAUAAUGGA
rnacentral:lncRNA from 1 species